UACGGAGGGUGCGAGCGUUAAUCGGAAUCACUGGGCGUAAAGCGUGCGUAGGCGGCGUGUCAAGUCAGACGUGAAAGCCCUAGGCUCAACC
rnacentral:rRNA from 1 species